rnacentral:rRNA from 1 species
GAGUUUGAUCCUGGCUCAGAGCGAACGUUAGCGGCGGGCCUAACACAUGCAAGUCGAACGAGAAAGCUCCCUUCGGGGGGUGAGUACAGUGGCGCACGGGUGAGUAACACGUGGGUAACCUACCCUUUGGUGGGGGACAACAGCUCGAAAGGGCUGCUAAUACCUCAUAAGUCGGCGAGGUCUUCGGAUCUUUCCGGGAAAGGUGGCCUCUACAUGUAAGCUAUCGCCAGAGUAGGGGCCCGCGUCCCAUCAGCUUGAUGGUGAGGUAACGGCUCACCAUGGCUUAGACGGGUAGCUGGUCUGAGAGGAUGAUCAGCCACACUGGGACUGAGACACGGCCCAGACUCCUACGGGAGGCAGCAGUGGGGAAUAUUGGACAAUGGGCGAAAGCCUGAUCCAGCCACGCCGCGUGUGUGAUGAAGGCCUUCGGGUCGUAAAGCACUGUGGAGGGGGACGAACAACCUGAAGAACAAUACCUUCAGGCCUGACGGUACCCCUUUAGCAAGCACCGGCUAACUCC